UACGUAGGGUGCAAGCGUUAAUCGGAAUUACUGGGCGUACAGCGUGCGCAGGCGGCUUUGCAAGACAGAUGUGAAAUCCCCGGGCUCAACCUGGGAACUGCAUUUGUGACUGCAAGGCUGGAGUACGGUAGAGGGGGAUGGAAUUCCGCGUGUAGCAGUGAAAUGCGUAGAUAUGCGGAGGAACACCGAUGGCGAAGGCAAUCCCCUGGACCUGUACUGACGCUCAGGCACGAAAGCGUGGGGAGCAAACAGG
rnacentral:rRNA from 1 species